rnacentral:lncRNA from 1 species
ACUCUUACCAGUUUGGGGCUUAAAGUACCAGUGGUACUUUAGGAAAGCAGGAUGGUAAAAAUUGGAGUUGUAUGUGCAUUCACAUUCAUACUCUCAGCUUUGGUUGAUGCCUUAAUCAUACUAAACUUCAUAUCAUCUCCAUUUAUGCCAGAAACCUCCAUCAAGUCUUGCUCUAAACCCGUGUCUUAUGCUUUCUUCUUAUUCUGUCUAAUUCCAGAAACAAUGAUGGAGUAGCCAGCUCUCUUGGGAGACCUCUGAUUGUGUCUCUGGUCAAAACCAACCUCCCUCAUUUCUGAUUAGCCCUGAGCUAACUACUGCCAAUCCUCCUCUUUUUGCUGAG